UACGGGGGGGGCAAGCGUUGUUCGGAAUUACUGGGCGUAAAGGGCUCGUAGGUGGCCAACUAAGUCGGACGUGAAAUCCCUCAGCUUAACUGGGGAACUGCGUCCGAUACUGGAUGGCUCGAGUUUGGGAGAGGGAUGCGGAAUUCCAGGUGUAGCGGUGAAAUGCGUAGAUAUCUGGAGGGACACCGGUGGCGAAGGCGGCUUCCUGGACCGACACUGACGCUGAGGCGCGAAAGCUAGGGGAGCAAACGGG
rnacentral:rRNA from 1 species